CGCCUGAAGUCUUUGAGAAGAAAAUCCACACUUAUAAAAAGGAAUAAUGGCAAUUUUUGUGAAAAACAUAAAGAUAUGGCUGAGUUCCAGAGAACAGAGACCCUUACACUUCAUGACUGACUGUGCUGGGACCACAUAGAUAAUUCGAGAGAACGUCUUCAUCACACAAUCCUCAGCUUCAUCACAUCUUCAAAAUUUUAUCUGCCAUAUCAGGCCACAAGUUGGCAAGUUUCAACAAGUGUCAUUUAAAAGGAUAAUUAUUCGUGUGUUGGAGGAAAACAUCUAUAUAUGAGCAAGGCCAGAGACAUGGAGCAGGAGAGUUGGCUCUGAGAAGUGUCAUUGUGCAUGGGGUCUGAAGAUGGCCAUAUCCUCCAACAAGGCUGAUGAUGACCAGUAUCUUCAAGUUACAGGAUUUGAAAGCAAACUUGAGUCACAUAUUGGACUCAGUAUAAUCAUAUACUGGAUUCUACACUGAUGAUAGAUAAAUUCAUGAGGAAUGCUUAUUUUAUCUUUAGCCAAUUUUAUCCUUUCCAUUAUAGGAAAAAGUCAAUUUUUCAUAAUUCUUAUUUCAUCUGGCAUUUUUUAAAUCAGUUUACUGCUGGACAUGUUUAUGGUAAGGGAAUCUCCUUACCUUCCAUAAAUCAAGAGUACAACUUGACACCUUAGAUUAAAAAAAUCUUGCAGUUUAAUCCUUUAUGGGCAAUGUUACAUGAAUAACUUAAUUAUCCUGUCUUGAUAUGUAAUACAAGUUUUUUGACAAGGAUGUAAAUGUUGACAAGAAUAAAUAUUCUAUAAAAACUAUUAUAAACAGGGAUAACCAAAGUACCUAGAAUUAUAUUUGUAGUAAAGAAUCUGUUUAGUCGAGAUUGACUCAUUGCAUGAUAAAUUUUAGACUAUAAAAUAUUAAAAUUUGCACUGCCUGAAUAUGUAAAUUAGCAAUCUCUUUCACCCCUGGGCACUUCCAUCCAUCCUUGGUAGCAUCCUAUGAUGCCACCAUCUGGCUGCUCCCAUUUAUGCAGUUUUCAGCAAGGAUUUCAUAGGAAAACUCAGUGAACUUGGCAAGAUGCUAAACACAGGGAAGAACUUACUCCCAUUCCUUAAGAAAAGCUUAGGGAGCCUUAAGAUCCAUCAGAGUUUUAGGGUAUCAAAUUAGGCAAGUUGACAUUAAGAACUAUGAAUACAAGGAAUGAAUAAGAGAGAGUCAGGAAAGAGAAACAAAAGAAUGAAGGAAAUAAUGCCCUAAUUGGUGAGCUAAGGCAUGCAAAGUAAGUAAGUUAAAGCAAUACGGAAGAAAAUAAGGCAAUGUAAAAUAAAAUGCAGUAAGCUUUGUAGCAGUUUGUAAUAAAUGCCAUGUUAGUAAAGAUACUGCCUAACUUGGUCCAGAAGACACAUUGGAUAAAUAUUGAAACCUUUUAAGAGUAAAAUUGUCAAUCUGAACUGUUUGAGGUCAAUUCCCUGUUUUCUUUUUCUGUCAUUUGUUAUGCACUCUCAACAAUCAGUCCACCUUUUCUUACUUACAGGGCAUCAUUUUAUUUAGUAUCCUAGCAUCUUCCAUGGUAGUUAUGUGAUUCAAUGGACAUGCAUGACCAUCUUGCAUGCUACUACACCAUUUCAGAACGAACAUAUUAACAGUUCUGAACUUUAAGACAUCCAAGAAUGCUGGAAGCUUCUGGCAAAAUAUCUUUUUCUUUUUUUUCUUUUUUUUUU